rnacentral:rRNA from 1 species
UUGUGGUUAAACCGCAAAUAAGUGCAGAUGGUGGAUGCCUUGGUAUGGAAUGACGAUGAAGGACGUAGCAGCCUGCGAUAAGCCUCGGUGAGGUGGCAAGCAACCUUUGACCCGGGGAUAUCCGAAUGGGGUAACCCAAUCUGAUGGAAGAUCAGAUUAUCAGCCGCUGAAUUCAUAGGCGGUUAGAAGACAACCUGGGGAAGUGAAACAUCUCAGUACCCAGAGGAAGAGAAAACACCGAUACGUGGUUCUGUUGCUAUCACUCGCGCAAACGUUUGUGAGUGGUAGUAGCAGUGCCACAUAAUUCCCGGAGUAGUGGCGAGCGAAACGGGACCAGCCCAAACUUAGUGACGCUUGAACUUGCGAUGCGUGUAUAUCUUUUGAUAGAUACGAAGCGCGGGUUUUAAGGCUCAUUCAGCCAAUGUGUUUCUAAGCGUAGUAAGAUAGUAGCGUCUUGAGAGUGAAUGAUUCUCAAGGGGAGAAUUAGAAAUCAAAACUUUCCUAGUCGAAUGGCCUGGAACGGCCAGCCAAAGAAGGUGACAGCCCUGUAGGCGAAAGGAGUUUUGGGCUCCUAGUUAUUAUUCUUGAGUACCACGGGACUCGUGAAAUCCAGUGGGAAGCAAGCGCGACUAUGCGUUAAGGCUAAAUACAUUCCAUAACCGAUAGUGAACUAGUACCGUGAGGGAAAGGUGAAAAGCACCCCGGUGAGGGGGAUGAAAUAGUACCUGAAACCAUCUGCUUACAAGGAGUCAGAGCGCUUACCACUUCAGCGUAGGUUUUUUGCUUAUGGCCCUCGUGCUAGUCAGAUACCGUACCGCCUGUUAUCGCAGGUUAGGCGGCUGUACUGGGAACGAGCUGUAGGCGAACCUACGCUGAAGUGGUGCGUGAUGGCGUGCCUAUUGAAGAAUGAGCCAACGAGUUAGCUGGUAGUAGCUGAUUAAGUCCUACGGGACGUAGUCAAAGUGAAAGCGAGGCUUAACAGCCGUACUGAGUUUGAAAAGCGAUGCGUGUAUUUUCACGCCGCGCUUUUCUUACUCAAAAGCUGCUAUCACUAGACCCGAAACCGGGUGACCUAGCCAUGACCAGGGUGAAGCACAGGUAACACUGUGUGGAGGCCCGAACCCACGCGCCGUGCAAAACGCGGGGAUGAGUUGUGGCUCGCAGAGAAAUUCUAAUCGAACUCGGUAAUAGCUGGUUCUCCUCGAAAUAGUUUUAGGACUAGCCUGUUCCAUCGUUCCUGAUGGUAGAGCACUGAAUGGGUUUCCAUGGCGUAAGCCUAGGCGAUCCAACCAAACUCCGAAUGUCAGGAAACGUAAGGAAUGGAGUCAGAGCGUGAGGGCUAAGCUUCACCGCUCAAAAGGGAAACAGCCCAUGAUCACCAAAUAAGGUCCCUAAAUUUCAGCUAAGUGUUAAAGGCGGUCUCGUCGCUUAAACAACCAGGAGGUUGGCUUAGAAGCAGCCACCCUUUAAAGAAAGCGUAACAGCUCACUGGUCUAGCGCUGGGGCGCCGAAAAUGUACCGGGGCUAAAGCUGAAUACCGAAUUUGUGGGCCCGUCGUAAGACGGGCGGUAGAGGAGCGUCCUCUGCUGCCGUGAAGCCCCAGCCGUGAGGCGGGGUGGAGCGCAGAGGAGUGCGAAUGUUGGCAUAAGUAGCAAAAAGACUAGUGAAAACCUAGUCCACCGUAAACCUAAGGUUUCCUGGGCAACGCAAAUCGACCCAGGGUGAGGCGGGCCUAAGGCGAGGCUGAAAAGCGUAGCCGAUGGACAGCAGGUUAAUAUUCCUGCCCCGCCAUUAAGUUUCAAUGGGGUGACGUCGUUUUUAAGGUUCUGCGCGAUUUGGUUAUGCGCGUGUACCGUGAAGCCGUGCCUGGUAGGUAAAUCCGCCAGGAUAAUCGGCAGGCGCGGGACGUAGGGAAAGGGGCAACCCCGACCCGACAGAACUGGCGAGACGGCCUAGAAAAACCUCUAGAGUUAACUUAAUGGUGACCGUACCGGAAACCGACACAGGUGGGUGAGGCGAGUAGCCUCAGGUGUACGAGAGAACCCUUGUUUAGGAACUCGGCAAUACAACGGCCGUAACUUCGGGAUAAGGCCUUCCCGCCCUUUCUGGGCAUCUCCGCAUAUUAAGUAGUGCUAGGCGAAGCCGCUUGGCUUUCAGUAGCAAACUUUUUAUGGCGUGAGGUGAGUGGAAAGGGCGGGACGCAGUAAAAGACGUCAACCGACUGUUUAUCAAAAACACAGGUCCCUGCAAAGCCGCAAGGCAACGUAUAGGGGCUGAUGCCUGGCCAGUGUCAGAACGUUAAGGCAAGAGGUCAUUCCGCCGCAAGGCGGAGGCAGCCUUGAACUGAAGCGCUGAUGAACGCCGGCGGUAACUAUAACCGUCCUAAGGUAGCGAAAUUCCUUGUCGGGUAAGUUCC